rnacentral:lncRNA from 1 species
UAUGGAUGUGAAAAGGGGAUGAAGGUAGUGGGUCUUACUGAAGAUCCACAAAGCUUGCAGACGAGCCUUCUGAACAGGGAGGUUCACUUGGCGACAAUGCUAUCUUCACUAGCUCGCGUGAGACUCGCUCCAAUAGACUGCAAAAUAGGACUGAGAGUGCGCACUUCAAUGCCCAAGUUAGUCGCUCUAUCGGGGAAGUUGAAUUAAUCAAGAAUAAUAUUAAGCUUAAGUGAAAAUGGUGUUAGAGUGAGUGCAUGUACAUACUUUUUGAAGCAUAGGGUUUUUAUAUGGGUGUUGAGAUGCUUUAAAGGGUAAAAGGGGAAUUUACCUUUGAAAAAGGGUGUGCAUAUUGUGCAUGGCAGUCGCUUUCUCUUUGCCAUGUUCGCUGCCACACUAGAGGGGAGGUGGUCUGUCACUGUCGAUGGGGCCACAGGCAGUUAUGCGCCUCUGCAUACAUUUUCUGCAAAAGUGACCCGAAUGAUCCCUGGAGAUCAUCCGAUUUAUCAACCUCAUUAUAUUAUGUUAGUCUCGUCCUAGGCGUCUUUUGCUAGGCGGGUGUCCGAAGGUUUAUAAUCAGUACUCAAGUAUCUCAUGAAUCUCUUUUCUUUGAUGGGAUCUGGUUGGGUUGGAGGCCAAUGGCGGGAUCCUUGAGGGGUCAUCGUAUCCAAUAUAGUCUACUUCGUAGGACGAAUAUUACUCCACAUCAACCACUCCCCCUACUCUGGGUCAUUUACCUUGGUAAUCAUCUCAAAGUAAUCUUUUUCCUUCUCUACGAUUUUUUCCUGUAGGAUCACCAUUUUCUAGCGACCUUUGAUUUACCGAGGCAGUGACAUCACCGCCAUCAAAUAUUUAUCACAUCUAUCACAUCCUACUUAUUUUUUCUGUCGUUUUUCAAACUCCUUAUUUUUCUCAACUGUCAACCAAUCUCCACUGUAGAUUUUAGGCAGUUUUUUUAUAUCUCCUUUUAUCUCCGCCGCCCAUGUGGGGAUAACUUCACACGACUUCCCUUUUAAAUAACUUCUUGCUUCUUUCUUCAACUUUUACUUCUUCGUUUCAAAACUUUUUUCCUUUUGUUUUGCGAAAGAUCGUUGCUUCCAGAAACCAUGUGGCAUUAUUUCACUUCUCGAUUCCACUCAUAUGUCGUCUCCUCGUUCUUGACCAAGUAUUUCUUUUCUUCCAUCUACACCUUCUUCCAUUUUCUGUUCUCGUUUUCAUUCGUGUUUUUCUGGACAUGUGAUAUUAGUUGGCGUUUUGCUUGUUUUAUUUUUGUCUUUGUUUAUUAUAUAGCCAUGAUCUUAUUAAGAGUUCCCUCUACUUUAUCAGAUGCCAAGUUGCAAAGCAUAAAACAUCAACUAGGCCCUCACCAGAAUUUUGACGUGCCAACUCUAAAUCAUGAAGAUCGUCCUCACAUUGUACUCCCUUCUAGUUUGGUUUUAUGGCAAAGCCAUUUUGAUGUAGGCCUUUGGUUUUCGAUAUUCCCUUAUUUAUAUAUAAACUAAAUCAUUCCUUUUAGUAUCCGCUUGAUAAACACUCAUUUUGUAUAGUUUUUAUGGCUUAUAUUCUAUGAAUUAUGUCAAAGUUGUGCCCCCAUUGUGUUAUCGUUUAGAGUUUAUUUCAUAUCAUUUCGUGAUUUCACGUUUGGGUAUAGUUUUGGCUAAUUUGAUGCAGGAAUGAGUGUUUCUGGAGCAUUUAGAACCAAUGGAAUAUGUCUAGGAGAAGAGAUAGAAGAGAAAGGCGAGAAAAAAUGAGAAAAAUGAAGAA